AUUGAACGCUGGCGGCAGGCUUAACACAUGCAAGUCGAACGGUAGCAGGAGAAAGCUUGCUUUCUUGCUGACGAGUGGCGGACGGUGAGUAAUGCUUGGGAAUCUGGCUUAUGGAGGGGGAUAACUACGGGAAACUGUAGCUAAUACCGCGUAGUGUCGAGAGACGAAAGUGCGGGACCGCAAGGCCGCAUGCCAUGAGAUGAGCCCAAGUGGGAUUAGGUAGUUGGUGGGGUAAAGGCCUACCAAGCCUGCGAUCUCUAGCUGGUCUGAGAGGAUGGCCAGCCACACUGGAACUGAGACACGGUCCAGACUCCUACGGGAGGCAGCAGUGGGGAAUAUUGCGCAAUGGGGGGAACCCUGACGCGGCCAUGCCGCGUGAAUGAAGAAGGCCUUCGGGUUGUAAAGUUCUUUCGGUAUUGAGGAAGGAGUGUAUGUUAAUAGCAUACAUUAUUGACGUUAAAUACAGAAGAAGCACCGGCUAACUCCGUGCCAGCAGCCGCGGUAAUACGGAGGGUGCGAGCGUUAAUCGGAAUAACUGGGCGUAAAGGGCACGCAGGCGGUUAUUUAAGUGAGGUGUGAAAGCCCCGGGCUUAACCUGGGAAUUGCAUUUCAGACUGGGUAACUAGAGUACUUUAGGGAGGGGUAGAAUUCCACGUGUAGCGGUGAAAUGCGUAGAGAUGUGGAGGAAUACCGAAGGCGAAGGCAGCCCCUUGGGAAUGUACUGACGCUCAUGUGCGAAAGCGUGGGGAGCAAACAGG
rnacentral:rRNA from 1 species